GACGAACGUUGGCGGCGUGCUUAACACAUGCAAGUCGAACGGAAAGGCCCUGCUUUUGUGGGGUGCUCGAGUGGCGAACGGGUGAGUAACACGUGAGUAACCUGCCCUUGACUUUGGGAUAACUUCAGGAAACUGGGGCUAAUACCGGAUAGGAGCUCCUGCUGCAUGGUGGGGGUUGGAAAGUUUCGGCGGUUGGGGAUGGACUCGCGGCUUAUCAGCUUGUUGGUGGGGUAGUGGCUUACCAAGGCUUUGACGGGUAGCCGGCCUGAGAGGGUGACCGGCCACAUUGGGACUGAGAUACGGCCCAGACUCCUACGGGAGGCAGCAGUGGGGAAUAUUGCACAAUGGGCGGAAGCCUGAUGCAGCAACGCCGCGUGCGGGAUGACGGCCUUCGGGUUGUAAACCGCUUUCGCCUGUGACGAAGCGUGAGUGACGGUAAUGGGUAAAGAAGCACCGGCUAACUACGUGCCAGCAGCCGCGGUGAUACGUAGGGUGCGAGCGUUGUCCGGAUUUAUUGGGCGUAAAGGGCUCGUAGGUGGUUGAUCGCGUCGGAAGUGUAAUCUUGGGGCUUAACCCUGAGCGUGCUUUCGAUACGGGUUGACUUGAGGAAGGUAGGGGAGAAUGGAAUUCCUGGUGGAGCGGUGGAAUGCGCAGAUAUCAGGAGGAACACCAGUGGCGAAGGCGGUUCUCUGGGCCUUUCCUGACGCUGAGGAGCGAAAGCGUGGGGAGCGAACAGGCUUAGAUACCCUGGUAGUCCACGCUGUAAACGGUGGGUACUAGGUGUGGGGUCCAUUCCACGGGUUCCGUGCCGUAGCUGACGCUUUAAGUACCCCGCCUGGGGAGUACGGCCGCAAGGCUAAAACUCAAAGGAAUUGACGGGGCCCCGCACAAGCGGCGGAGCAUGCGGAUUAAUUCGAUGCAACGCGUAGAACCUUACCUGGGUUUGACAUGGAUCGGGAGUGCUCAGAGAUGGGUGUGCCUCUUUUGGGGUCGGUUCACAGGUGGUGCAUGCCUGUCGUCAGCUCGUGUCGUGAGAUGUUGGGUUAAGUCCCGCAACGAGCGCAACCCUUGUUCACUGUUGCCAGCACGUUAUGGUGGGGACUCAGUGGAGACCGCCGGGGUCAACUCGGAGGAAGGUGGGGAUGACGUCAAGUCCUCAUGCCCCUUAUGUCCAGGGCUUCACGCAUGCUACAAUGGCUGGUACAGAGAGUGGCGAGCCUGUGAGGGUGAGCGAAUCUCGGAAAGCCGGUCUCAGUUCGGAUUGGGGUCUGCAACUCGACCUCAUGAAGUCGGAGUCGCUAGUAAUCGCAGAUCAGCAACGCUGCGGUGAAUACGUUCCCGGGGCU
rnacentral:rRNA from 1 species